UCCCCUCAGUCUCUCUCUCCUUUCGUUUGUCUCACUAAUUUGUUGCGUCUUGUCUCAAAUUAGAUUGUACCAUGAGUUCUCUGGUGCCAGGGCUGUUUCUUCCUAUGCACUGGCACAGCACCUCGCACCACUGGCCCUGAUCCUGACGGAAGGCUUCGGCCACCAGUGCAGUACUAACAACAUGAGUCUGAACUUGAUAAUGUUGCGCAAUUGGGAUCUGAGAUAUACAAACACAUUUCACUGCAGACAACAUAAGACUGGAAAGGAAGCUAAUCCAUUGCUCCACACUUUGCACAGAAACCGACAUAACAGUGAGCUUGAGCCAGUCUCCAGCUCCACAAACACAGGCUGGCCUGAAGCAGACGCAAGAGAGAGACAGAGACAAGGAGAGAAGUGUCCAGGGUACCCACCGUCUGCCAAGCACAUCUGAUCCUUCAAGGUGACUGGAAAUUCCUUGCUUUUUGCAUUCACCAAUCACAAAAGGAACCCACUGCGGAUCGGCAUUGCCCUUGUGCUCCAGAGAGUAGCUGUGACCGUGUCUUUACAACUCCAGGGGCUCUAUUUGACCCUCAGCAGACUGGAAGUCUCGUUGCUGGAAGCAAAGAUGGUUGGAGCGUGGGGCACGUUGCCCUGUGGUUACAGGACAGGACUAGGAGUCUACUUCUG